rnacentral:rRNA from 1 species
AACGAACGCUGGCGGCAUGCCUAACACAUGCAAGUCGAACGGGACCUCCGGGUCUACUGGCGCACGGGUGCGUAAAGCGGGGGAACCUGCCCUUAGACUCGGAAUAACUCCCCGAAGGGGGUGCUAAUACCGGAUAAUGUCCUCGAACCAAACAUAUAUCGCCUUUGGAUGGGCCCGCGUUGGCUUAGCUAGGUGGUAGGGUAAAAGCCUAUCAAGGCUACGAUCCAUAGCUGGUCUGAGAGACUGAGCAGCGACACUGGGGCUGGGACACGGCCCAGACUCCUGGGGGAGGCGGGAGUGGCGAAUAUAGGACAAUGGGGGGAAGCCUGAACCAGCUAUGCUGGGUGAGUGAUGAAGGCCGGAGGGUUGUGAAGCUGUUUUACACGGGAUGAUAAUGACGGUACCGGAAGAAUAAGCACCGGCUAACUCCGUG